CCUACCCGACGUGCCGAGCUAGAGGUGCCCCUACUGCAGGUAGAUGUUUUGUUUCGAGUUUAUGUACAUAGUUGACUUAACUCGCCAGUGCGAGUAGCUCUGUAUUUUGGAUUUGAACUAUGUAUAUGAAAUUCUGUUUGUUUAGCUUCUGUUUUCUCUAGCAGCUCUCUACUACUGUUCGUAGUAGUGUUUGAUUUACAGGUACAGCUGUCGCUUCGUAUACAGGAAAAAUUUCUUUGUAUACGGCGGAUUUGUCGGCGUGCCCGGGGAACGUGUAAUCCGGGGCGUGACAUUCAACUUUAAAAAUAAAUUUAAAGAUUAAGGUUAAUACUAAAUAUAUACUCUUAACUCAACUUUUCACUUUCGAUGACUUCCAGAAUUUUUUGAGCCAAACUCAAAAAAGUGAGAUUUAAUUAUAACUCACUUAGCAGCCCACUUUUUUAAAAUUACUUUUACUUUCGCAAAUCAAAUAACUGAUAAGACGUCACUUUCCAAAAGUUUCAGUUACGAUACUUUACUUUUGACCAGCCAAAUAUGCCCUUAGCAUAGGAGAUAGGGCUGAAUAUUCAAGUUCAAACAAAGUGAUCAAAUUUGGGUCUCACAUACCCUCCUAUCUCUCUCAAAAAAAAAAAAAAUUUAUAAUAACUUUUUAAACGAUAAUAUUUUAUGAUAAUUUUUAGAAUUUAUCUUGUUGUUAUUUUAUGUUAAUUUUUUAGAAUUUUCAGUGCUAAUUUUUGAAAAAAAAAUUUGA
rnacentral:lncRNA from 1 species